AAUCAACGCUGGCGGCGUGCCUAACACAUGCAAGUCGAACGAGAAAGUGGAGCAAUCCAUGAGUAAAGUGGCGCACGGGUGAGUAACACGUGACUAACCUACCCUUGAGUGGGGGAUAACCUAGGGAAACCUGGGCUAAUACCGCAUAAUACCCACGGGUCAAAGGAGCAAUUCGCUUAAGGAGGGGGUCGCGGCCGAUUAGUUAGUUGGCGGGGUAAUGGCCCACCAAGACUAUGAUCGGUAUCCGGCCUGAGAGGGCGCACGGACACACUGGAACUGAAACACGGUCCAGACUCCUACGGGAGGCAGCAGUGGGGAAUUUUGCGCAAUGGGGGAAACCCUGACGCAGCAACGCCGCGUGGAGGAUGAAGUCCCUUGGGACGUAAACUCCUUUCGAUCGGGACGAUUAUGACGGUACCGGAAGAAGAAGCCCCGGCUAACUUCGUGCCAGCCGCCGCCGUAAAAC
rnacentral:rRNA from 1 species